rnacentral:rRNA from 1 species
ACGGAAGGCAGCAGUGAGGGAUAUUGCACAAUGGGCGAAAGCCUGAUGCAGCAACGCCGCGUGAGGGAUGACGGUUUUCGGAUUGUAAACCUCUGUCUUCGGUGAAGAUAAUGACAUUAGCCGAGGAGGAAGCCACGGCUAACUACGUGCCAGCAGCCGCGGUAAUACGUAGGUGGCAAGCGUUAUCCGGAUUUACUGGGUGUAAAGGGCGCGUAGGCGGGGAUGCAAGUCAGAUGUGAAAUCUAUGGGCUUAACUCAUAAACUGCAUUUGAAACUGUAUCUCUUGAGUGCUGGAGAGGUAGAUGGAAUUCCUUGUGUAGCGGUGAAAUGCGUAGAUAUAAGGAAGAACACCAGUGGCGAAGGCGAUCUACUGGACAGUAACUGACGCUGAGGCGCGAAAGCGUGGGGAGCAAACAGGAUUAGAUACCCUGGUA